rnacentral:rRNA from 1 species
GACGAACGCUGGCGGCGUGCCUAAUACAUGCCAGUUGAGCGAUGAAGAUUGGUGCUUGCACCAAUUUGAAGAGCAGCGAACGGGUGAGUAACGCGUGGGGAAUCUGCCUUUGAGCGGGGGACAACAUUUGGAAACGAAUGCUAAUACCGCAUAACAACUUUAAACAUAAGUUUUAAGUUUGAAAGAUGCAAUUGCAUCACUCAAAGAUGAUCCCGCGUUGUAUUAGCUAGUUGGUGAGGUAAAGGCUCACCAAGGCGAUGAUACAUAGCCGACCUGAGAGGGUGAUCGGCCACAAUGGGACUGAGACACGGCCCAAACUCCUACGGGAGGCAGCAGUAGGGAAACUUCGGCAAUGGACGAAAGUCUGACCGGGCAACGCCGCGGGAGUGAAGAAGGUUUUCGGAUCGUAAAACUCUGUUGGUAGAGAAGAACGUUGGUGAGAGUGGAAAGCUCAUCAAGUGACGGUAACUACACAGAAAGGGACGGCUAACUACGUG